rnacentral:rRNA from 1 species
GUGUCAGCCGCCGCGGUAAUACGUAGGGGGCAAGCGUUGUCCGGAAUUAUUGGGCGUAAAGCGCGCGCAGGCGGCCGUUUAAGUCUGGUGUUUAAGCCCGGGGCUCAACCCCGGUUCGCACUGGAAACUGGGCGGCUGGAGUGCAGAAGAGGAGAGUGGAAUUCCACGUGUAGCGGUGAAAUGCGUAGAGAUGUGGAGGAACACCAGUGGCGAAGGCGGCUCUCUGGACUGUAACUGACGCUGAGGCGCGAAAGCGUGGGGAGCAAACAGGAUUAGAUACCCCGGUAGUCC